rnacentral:rRNA from 1 species
AUUGAACGCUGGCGGCAUGCCUUACACAUGCAAGUCGAACGGUAACAGGUCUUCGGAUGCUGACGAGUGGCGAACGGGUGAGUAAUACAUCGGAACAUGCCUAGUAGUGGGGGAUAACUACUCGAAAGAGUGGCUAAUACCGCAUGAGAUCUACGGAUGAAAGCAGGGGAUCGCAAGACCUUGUGCUACUAGAGCGGCCGAUGGCAGACUAGGUAGUUGGUGGGAUAAAAGCUUACCAAGCCGACGAUCUGUAGCUGGUCUGAGAGGACGAUCAGCCACACUGGGACUGAGACACGGCCCAGACUCCUACGGGAGGCAGCAGUGGGGAAUUUUGGACAAUGGGCGAAAGCCUGAUCCAGCAAUGCCGCGUGCAGGAUGAAGGCCUUCGGGUUGUAAACUGCUUUUGUACGGAACGAAAAGCCCCGGGUUAAUACCCUGGGGUCAUGACGGUACCGUAAGAAUAAGCACCGGCUAACUACGAGCCAGCAGCCGCGGUAA